rnacentral:lncRNA from 1 species
CCUUAAUCUAUAGCAUGUUUAGCUUCCAAAUUAGACAUUUAAUCAAGAAAUUGGACAAAGUAUGUGAGUUUACGGCCCAGGAGGCAGCCUAGGCCGUAAACACCAUUUUGAAGGGUUUUUAGCCCUUAAACUCCUUCCUUAACUCAUUUGGACUUUAGAUAUGGCUAAGGGACUUCAAGAUAUGGACUUAGAACACUUAAAUCUAUGAUUUUGUGGACUUUGAAGGAGUUUACGGCCAAGGCAUAAGCUUGGGCCGUAAACUCAUGAAAAUGGUGUUUUUCAUGCCUUUAAACCCUUCCAAAUCACCCCUACAGCUUAGAUAUGAAUUAUAGGACUUUGAUUCUUGCAUUUGGACACUUGAAACAUUAAUUUUGAGGGACUUAGAUGAGUUUACGGCCAAGGAGAGUUCUUGGGCCGUAAACUCCACAAAACUUGGCAUAAAUCUCAUUCUAAGGUGUUAGAAAGCCAUCCAACACCACCAAAAGCCUUGGAAUAAAUCAAGGGACCAACCAAAAAUACUUUGAGGGCCUAAAACACAACAUUUAUGGGGUUUCUAAGGGUUUACGGCCAAGACAUGUUCUUGGGCCGUAAACUCCAAAAUUUUUGGUGUUAGAAUGCAAACUACACACCCCUAAGGCCCUUAGAUGAAUUUUAGAAGUCCUUUCAUGCAUGUUCUAGACCUUGAAACACCUUGGAACACCACACACAAGAGUUUACGGCCAUGAAGGGGGUUUCAUGGGCCGUAAACUCCACAAAUCCCCCAAAAAUCCCAUGCAAACUCAUGUUAGGCCUUGGAUUAAUUUUACCAAUCACAUGUGAUUUGUUCUAGCACCAUUUAGCAUCAUUUUCAUAAGGAUUAAGGAGUUUACGGCCAGGAGCCUAUGCUAGGCCGUAAACUCCCAUAAAUUAAUCAUUUUGGUGAUUUUAAUCCAUUCCAUGCAUUUAGAUCAAAGCCUAGAAUCAUUUCCCAUGUCCAUGUAAGCCAUUUAAGCCAUUUAAACACCCAAAACCACACCCACAUGAGUUUACGGCCGUAAACUCAUGUAUGUGUGUGUUUUGUGGUUGUAAACUCAUUUAAAAGUUUACUCAUGGGGAGUAAACUCAAGUCCCAAGUCCCUAGUGUCAUUUCCCAUCCUUAAACGCCACCCGGGUCCCUCCAAACACUCGUAUCGGAGUGUUUUCGCGACUUGAAGCAAUUGUCCCUAUCCAACAAUUAAUCUAAGUCCUAAUUAGAUACAAAUGUGUAUCUUUACAUUAUAAUUAGGAAUCUCGUGUAUUUGCAAGCCCCGGAUCAACUCUUAGCAUCCAAAUCGUCCUACUUCUCGUCCGGUGAGUUCAUACCCCUACGCCUUUUUCACUGUUUUUAACUGUUUUCAGGGGGGGAAUACAAGCAAACCAAAACUGUUUUCAAAUCAUAACAUUUAUGUGUUUCAAAUAAUAUCUGGCAAUCUUAUAAACUCUUUUACUCCUUAUGUAUUAUGUUGAGCAUAAGGAAUGAUUUAUCAAUUACAACUAAAUGGAUUUUAGUUAAGAAAAUAACCAAACUAAUCAAAUUAUUAUGGGAAUAAUUUGGGGUUCUAUGUUUCUCUUUAUAUCAUGUACUGAUAUCUGUAUUAAGUUAUUAGAUAAACUAUGUCUGAUUCAGUUUAUCUCCGUAUCAUUCGAAUGUUUUUGCCAGAUAAUUUCAUUGUAUGUAUCUAUUUUUCACUGUAUCAUGUCUUAAAGUCUAUGUAUGUUUGUAAUCGUAUGAGAAUCCUGUGAAUAGUUUAAUACUAGUUUGUGAGAUAGUCACUACCCUUUAUGGAUGAUCAAGUAAAUCCUCUCCGGAAGUGUAACCAGAGUCUCCUGGAGGGAGAGCGAAGAGUUUGUGAAUAGAUCUAUUCGGGACUGACAAUCCCACACCUUAACUGCUAGCUACAGUUAGGCGGGCACGCCUGGGGUGACAAAUUCUGUAUAUCAUUCGACGUCUGACUAACGUCAAGGAGGUCUCGUUGUCAUAUCAGCAUGGUUACCCGACUCACAAUACGUAUUAAUAUAAACUUAUUCACAGCUAGGAUUUGUUUAGAAUCUAUAUCUUGUUCGGGAUGGUAAUCCCAUGGUCUUGUAAUCUAUAUCUCGUUCGGGAUGGUAAUCCCAUGGUUUUAUGUCUAUAUCUCGUUCGGGAUGAUAAUCCCAUGAUCUUGUGUCUAUAUUUCGUUCGGGAUGGCAAUCCCAUGGUUUUGAAACUAAAUCUUAUACGGGAUGAUAAUCCCAUGAUUUUAUCAAGCUAUCUUAUAUCUAGUUUCGGGAUAGUGAUCCCAUGGUUUAUCAAACUAUUUUUAUCUACUUUCGGGAUAGUGAUCCCAUGGUUUUUAUCGAAUUAUCUUAUAACUGGUUCGGGAUGUAGUCCCAAGGUUUUCAAAAUACUUUCUAUUUACAGUUCGUCUAAAUUAUAGUUUUGUGAAUUAAACUAUACUAUGUGUUAUCUAAUCAAUCUUACAAUUAGGAAAAUAUGGGAUUUUCCUGGGGUUAACUUAUAUCUGUAACAGAACUGUAAUGAAAGAUAACUUAACUACUUUACAUAAGAAAAUAUGGGAUUUUCUUGGAUAUCAAAUCUUUUCAGAAAACUAAAGGAAAUCGAUACAUUUUCACAAAACAAAACCGCUUAUGAACUCACCAGCUUUAUGCUGAUUUUCAAACUGCUUGUAUUCUCAGGUCCAAGUUAGACAGGUACCCGGCGAUAUCUUUUGGUGAAGAUGGAGUGCUCCGAAGACUCGUCUCUUUUGUUCAUAUGAUAUAUGUAUAACUUUUGUACAAUUUACUUUUGAACCAAAUGUAAACUUUCAUAUAUAUGUAAUGUAAUGGUUGUUUACUGUGAUUACUAUGUACAUUGGAUUUGAUACACAACAUGGAGUCAACCCCGGGAACGUUUCCGCCUUUGGUUUUCGGGGUGUGACAGAUUGGUAUCAGAGCCCUUGUUUAUAGUGAACAGAGUAUACCAAACCUUACAUGGUAUAAAACUAUAAACAUUAAGGGGCCUAAGUGCUCUGAACUAAAAGUAUCCUACAAAAUAUAAGUAUUUUCAAAAGUAUUUAAGUAUGCCGAGCCGUCGAAAUCCGUAACUAUAAGUAGAACAAAACAUAAGUAAAUGGGUGUUGUACACUGCGGUUAAACCUGGGCAGUUAUGUAGUCGUGUCUAGGGUCAAUAUAGCCUGGCCAACUAUAUUCAUUCGAGACACGGCCAACAUGUGCUUGGGAGUGACUGUGGCAUGCGGCAUACCUAAAACUUACCCAAUAUCCCAAACAACAAAUCGUCGCUGCAGCGAACCAUGAAAUACUAUGGGAGUAUUUCUCGAGCCGAUCCUUUGUAGAAAUUCUCGUAUACGCGUUAUUCCUUGAUCAUUCCUCUAGCGAUAAAAUGUUCUAUCUUGAUAACUCCUUUCUGCUUUAUCGCUUUGUAUGAUGCUAUAUUUGCCUUGAUGAGAUAUCUCCUGUCCCAUAUCUCUUGAUUCAAUUCAGAGGACUUAUGAUCCUCUCUUUCCUGAUCUUUUUAGAUCAAGAUGCCUCCAAGAAAGAGACCCAGCUCAACGAACAACAACAAUCCUCCUCCGCCACCACCUCCUAUUCAGAUCGAUUUGGAAACACUUCAGGCAACCAUUUCCGCUACCAUAUCAGCUCUCUUACCUCAACUGAACUCUAGGGGUUCGGGAGGUGAAACCCAAAACCCAGAUGAUAGCCAGGGACACCAAAAAGGGGGUUCCUAUAAAGACUUCAUGAACGCAAAACCGACAUUCUUCGAUGGCACAGGGGGUGUCAUUGCCUUAACCCGAUGGUUCGAGAGAAUCGAAUCAAUCUUUGAAAUAUGCGGCUGUUCGGAGUCUGAUAGAGUCAAGUUUGCUGCCUGCACCUUCCUAGACAAAGCCCUGACUUGGUGGAAUGGCCGAGUCAAAUCCUUAACUUUACCUGUAGCCAAUGCUAUGGGUUGGGAAGCUAUGAAGGAGCUUCUUCUCGCAGAGUAUUGCCCUCGGGGCGAACUUCAGAAGCUAGAACAUGAACUUUGGAACCUUAAGAUGAAGGGUUCCGACAUAGCUGCUUAUACCUCAAGAUUUGAUGAUCUGGCGUUACUUUGUCCGGGAAUGGUUACCCCGGAAAGUAAAAAGAUAGAGAGGUUCAUCUGGGGGUUGACCCAGCCAACAAAGGGGAAUGUCUUGGCUGCGAAGCCAGACACAUAUGACAGUGCCAAAUGUCUUGCGAAAAUCCUGAUAGAUCACGAAGACAACUCUGAUGAAGAAGCUACUACCCCCGAGCCAGUCACUAGUGGAGGCGGAAGUAAAAAGAAAUCCUGGAACAAGCGGAAGGCCCAGAGUACGCAAGGGUCUUCUAAGAAACAGCAAACGGUAGCAGUCCAUGCUGCUACUGCCCCUGUUGCUGUUUCAGCUGUAGGUUCCACAGCCCAAACUCCCGCCAGUGGAUACACUGGUACCCUUCCUUGGUGUGGUAAGUGUAACUACCACCACCGCAUUCCUGGUCCAUGUCGCGAAAGGAUCUGCGACAACUGUGGCAAUAAGGGCCAUCUUGCGCGAACCUGCAGAAAACCAGCCAAGCCAACGAACCAAUCAUCUGGAACGGGAAUCAGUCCGGCCUGCUACAAUUGUGGUGAAGCUGGGCACUUCAAAAGGAAUUGUCCCAAGACAGCUACAACCACAAAUCCCUCUGCUGCCGCAGGUAUAUCUCUCUUUGAUAAUUCUUAUACUUGCAACUCUUUUCGAUUUUGGGUGCAAAAGGGAAACCUGUUAUCUAUCUAUUCGAACGUAUUCUAAACUCAAUCCUUCGCAUGUAAUCGAAAUGUAUACCGUCGAGACGACUAACUAGUGAGAUAGAGAACACUAACUUCGUAUCUAUAGAUUGAAUCCUCGGUCCGGAGAACUAUUCUAUUCCAUUCGAUUUAUAAAGGGGGAAACUUUCCAUGAAAAUACUUUGAUGCCAUGUUUAACCAGAAAUGACCGAGUUUUCGUUCGCGUUGUUAUCUUUACUUUCGAAAGGGCCGCUCGUUAGAUCUUUUUCUCGACCCGAUCCUCGUGAUCUUCGGCAUCAAACUUUCGUAUCAUUCUAUGCCUUAGAACUCAAAAGUUUUCUCAAUAUGAGUUACCACGCAUCCCUCGUUUCUCUAAUUAUUGAGAAACGGGAAGUUAGCAACUAUUCCCUCUAAAUGUCUAUCCCGAAGGAUUCCCGGGAGUUUCUUUCGAGCAUCUAGUUUAGUCUCACCUCAAACCUUUCGAGAUCUUCGUAGAGAUCGAUUCAGCAGCUUUCAGGUUUUGGAUGCCCUUAGAACUUGGUAAUAUCUAUCUAGACCAUCGCAUCUCGAAUCCCUAGAAGCGUCUGCCUAACGAAACCCUAGUGAAUCCUUUGAGGAAACCGAAGUCAUUCAGGGUUGGAACUUCCAUGGGAAAGCAGUUUGAUAUCGUGAAUUGAGAGAGAGUCAAGAAGCGAAUCCAAGACAUGUCCCGAUAACGAAAAUUCAUUAGAACACUCAAUAGAGCCCUGAUUCCACUUGAGAAAGUGAAGAUCCGAAGCAACAAAUCCAUUCGUGUUUCAUUCCAAUCCAUGACCUGUAUCUUAUUCUUUGAAUUUCGGGACGAAAUUCCCUCUAACGGGGGGAUAAUGUAACAACCCGAAGUUGUUCAUCGCCGAAAACCCGUUCUACCCGUAUAACUCGUCGGAAAUCGAAAUGUCCCGUUAUCAUUUUUGGGCUUAGUUAUCUAAAAUUAUAUAUUUAUUUUCAUUCAAUGAGGGUCCAAAUCAUUUAGGAACUCAUGAAUUUAGCCCAAAACAUUUAUUUCUUAAGUUUUAGAAAUAUCCUCGUCGGGUGACGAAAACUCAAUCGGGUGCGACCCAAAGCAUCGUUUAAGGCCGGUAUCGGGUAGAAUUCCACCGUGUCCAAGUUUUAGGGACUAUAUAAACAUGUUUAAGCACUCAUUUGAAGCUUUUUCCUUCUCUCUCUACUCUCUCUCUAACCUCUCUCCUAAAUCCAAAGAUUAAGUGUCCAAAACUCAAAUUUAAGGCUUCAAAUCCUUAAGGUACCUUCCUAGCCUUAAUCUAUAGCAUGUUUAGCUUCCAAAUUAGACACUUAAUCAUGAAAUUGGACAAUAUAUGUGAGUUUACGGCCCAGGAGGCAGCCUAGGCCGUAAACACCAUUUUGAAGGGUUUUUAGCCCUUAAACUCCUUCCUAGACUCAAAUGGACUUUAGAUAUGGCUAAGGGACUUCAAGAUAUGGACUUAGAACACCUAAAACUAUAAUUUUGUGGACUUUGAAGGAGUUUACGGCCAAGGCAUAAGCUUGGGCCGUAAACUCAUGAAAAUGGUGUUUUUCAUGCCUUUAAACCCUUCCAAAUCACCCCUACAGCUUAGAUAUGAAUUAUAGGACUUUGAUUCUUGCAUUUGGACACUUGAAACAUUAAUUUUGAGGGACUUAGAUGAGUUUACGGCCAAGGAGAGUUCUUGGGCCGUAAACUCCACAAAACUUGGCAUAAAUCUCAUUCUAAGGUGUUAGAAAGCCAUCCAACACCACCAAAAGCCUUGGAAUAAAUCAAGGGACCAACCAAAAAUACUUUGAAGGCCUUAAACACAUCUUUUAUGGGGUUUCUAAGAGUUUACGGCCAAGACCUGUUCUUGGGCCGUAAACUCCAAAAUUUUUGGUGUUAGAAUGCAAACUACACACCCCUAAGGCCCUUAGAUGAAUUUUAGAAGUCC